UCUCUCUCCUUGUCUUAUUUCUAACUGUUUCUUUCCAUGAAUGGCUGCAGUCUCUGACAUCCAUUCAUGAAAAAUAUGAACAAGCAUUGAUCAAGAUCCAACAGCUGUAGAAGGAGCAAGAGGAGUUGAAAGGGAAGGUUGAGGUCCAAAGUGUGGAGAUUGCACAGCUGACCCCAAGGCUCAAAUCUGAGCAGGAGACCCGCAGACUGGGGGAUUACAUUCAACUUCUACAGGAGGCUCGGACACAGUUGCACCAGGCUUCCAACAACACCCGCAGACGUGCAGAGAAAGCCGAGAGGGAACUGGAGGAGGUCUAUGAGCGCAUGGAGAGCACUUCCAUGACGUCUGCUCAGACCAAGCAGAAGAGCAGCAAACUAGAGAUGCAACUUUUAGAGUUACGCAGAAUCAUUGAGGAGAAAGAAAACAUUAGCAGAGAUGGCUAAAGUAGAAAAUGAGGAGUUGUCCAGAGAAAAUCAGGACCUCAGAAGAGAUAUUGAGAGACUUCGCAAGGAGUUCACUGACCUCCCGACUGCACCAGUGUCAUUGGAGCCUCCCAGCCCUUAUGGCUCUCCAGCUGACCCCACCCCUACUGAGGAGCAGCAGCUAGAUGUACUAUCUGAGACCCCAGACACUGCUCCAAACUCCGAGGAGGUAUGUAGAGUCAUUCCUAUGGUAUAAAUUCCCCAAUUACAUUCAACCCAAUUUUUCUUUGAGUGGAUGGUCAGGAAGCCAGAACAUAGUUAGAAAUCAUUUGUACACUUCAAAUUGACCUAAAGAAUCUCAAAUAGAUAAAGUAUUUGACAAAAACAGAAUGAUUUCAAACCUUGAUUACAUGGGGAUACGAUCACAUGUAUCUAUUUAUACGUGGGAAUACUUGGGAACAGAUUUCCUAAAUUAAAAUCACUUUGGGCUGAUUUCCUGAUUUCCUUCUUCUAAAGUCUGUUAUGUGUGUUUGUGUUCUUUUUGUGGCUCAUAAAAAUCCCGGCGCGCCUAUAGGGGAACCCUGUUGUUAUACAUGGUACAAAUGCAGUUUACACGUUUACAACAAGAUAGACUAGUGAUUUGGGAUCAAAGGGUUGAUUUCACAAUGGUUUAUCCACCAUCAUUUCUGUACUACACUAUAGUGAACUAUCCAUCUAUCGGAUGUUACCACUUACAGAGCCUUCAGAAAGUAUUCACACCCCUUCACUUUUUACACAUUUUGUUUUGUUACAGCCUAAAUCUUAAAUGGAUUAUAUUGAGAUUUUUUCCACUGGCCUACACACAAUAUACCCCAUAAUGUCAAAGUAAACUUGUGUUUUUUUUACAUUUGAACAAAUUAGUUAAAAAUG